rnacentral:rRNA from 1 species
GAUUAGAUACCCUGGUAGUCCACGCCGUAAACGAUGAUUACUAGCUGUUGGCGAUACACAGUCAGCGGCGUAGCGAAAGCGUUAAGUAAUCCACCUGGGGAGUACGGUCGCAAGAUUAAAACUCAAAGGAAUUGACGGGGGCCCGCACAAGCGGUGGAGCAUGUGGUUUAAUUCGAUGCAACGCGAAGAACCUUACCUACACUUGACAUGCAGAGAAC